CCGGGGUCUUCCGACCGGUGGUGGUAGUCUCCCAGGAACCCAAUAACCCUUCUCACCGUCAAGAAAUGUUACCCACCCAUCAUUCUCCUCCCGAGACAAACUGGACAGGAGCAAAGCAGGAAGAACAUGAACCUCUGCACCAAGACUGAGAAUGAACAGACC